GACGAACGCUGGCGGCGUGCCUAAUACAUGCAAGUUGAGCGCUGAAGGUUGGUACUUGUACCAACUGGAUGAGCAGCGAACGGGUGAGUAACGCGUGGGGAAUCUGCCUUUGAGCGGGGGACAACAUUUGGAAACGAAUGCUAAUACCGCAUAAAAACUUUAAACACAAGUUUUAAGUUUGAAAGAUGCAAUUGCAUCACUCAAAGAUGAUCCCGCGUUGUAUUAGCUAGUUGGUGAGGUAAAGGCUCACCAAGGCGAUGAUACAUAGCCGACCUGAGAGGGUGAUCGGCCACAUUGGGACUGAGACACGGCCCAAACCCCUACGGGAGGCAGCAGUAGGGAAUCUUCGGCAAUGGACGAAAGUCUGACCGGGCAACGCCGCGUGAGUGAAGAAGGUUUUCGGAUCGUAAAACUCUUUUGGUAGGGAAGAACGUGGGGGGGGGGGGAAAGCCCCUCAAGGGACGGUAACUACCCAGAAAGGAACGGCUAACUACGU
rnacentral:rRNA from 1 species